AGAGAGAGACAUGCGCGCAUAUCAAUAAGCGGAGGAAAAGAAACUAACAAGGAUUCCCUUAGUAACGGCGAGUGAAGCGGGGAGAGCUCAAAUUUGAAAUCUUCAAGGUUUUACCUUGACGAAUUGUAGUUUAAAGAAGUGUUUUCUGCUGAAGUUUUGGUAAAAGUUCUUUGGAAUAGGACAUCAUAGAGGGUGAGAAUCCCGUAUUUGACCAUUAUUUUCAGCUUUGUGAUACACUUUCAAAGAGUCGGAUUGUUUGGGAAUGCAGUCCAAAAUGGGUGGUAAAUUUCAUCUAAAGCUAAAUAUUGGCGAGAGACCGAUAGCGAACAAGUACCGUGAGGGAAAGAUGAAAAGAACUUUGAAAAGAGAGUUAAACAGUACGUGAAAUUGUCAAAAGGGAAGCGUUUGACACCAGUGUUGUUUUCUCGAAAAUCAAUUAAAAAUGGCUCGAUUUUGUAUUGCUGAGACCUUAAAAGCUCACUGUACAUUUUUCGUGUCUUUUUUAAUGCACUUUUCGUUUAACAAGUCAACAUCAGUUUCUUUUGUUGUAAAAGGGUCAUUGGAAGGUGGCUUUCUUUUCGGAGAAAGUGUUUAUAGCCUUUGGCCUCUGCAAUCGAAGAGACUGAGGUCUGCAGCGUAGACUCUUCGGGGUUAGAUACAUUUGUGCUAAGUUAUAGCUUUUUAUAGACAACUUGUUGACUAUAAUUAGUCUUGUAGCUUACUCGCUUAUGCUAUUUUACCUACGCUUAGGAUGUUGAAGAUGUAGCACAUCAU
rnacentral:rRNA from 1 species